rnacentral:lncRNA from 1 species
CACUAGGUGAGUAGGUCCCACUAAUUUGGUAUAAUACAGGACAUAGAAAUCUAAUUUUUCAAAACAAAAAUACCCUGUAAAAGGGAGGCUUUCUAUUAAAAUUCUCCCCCCCCCCUACCCCCAGCUCCCUGUUUUUCAAGACAGGGUUUCUCUGUGCAGUCCUGGCUGAACUGGAACUCACUCUGUAGAUUAGGCUGGCCUCGAACUCACAGAGAUCUCCCUACCUCUGCCUCCAGAGUGCUGUCAUUAAAUUCUAAUCUAUCUAUCUAUCUUUCUUUCUUUCUAAAAAGUAAUUAUUUUAUUUGUUUACAUUUCAAAUGUCCUCCUUCCUGGUUUCCCCUCCAUGAACCUCCCACCCCAUCCCCCUCCUUUUUGCCUCUAAGAGGGUGCUCCCCACCCCCUCCGCACCCCCUAGCAUCUCCCUUCUCUGGGGCAUCAGGCCGCCACAGGACCGAGCACAUUUAUAGUGUGUUUAAGUUCACACACACAUCUUUACCUGGGAGUCCUUGCUAGGCAGGGAGGACUGAGGCACCUGACACAUGGCCCACUUGAUGGUUACUACUUUCUAAAAAAGAGAAUCUAUGCCGUAAGAUAGAAAGGUUAGAAGGUGAGCCACUCACUCUUAGCCUGUGACUGGCUCGGCGGCUGUGUAUGAGCGGCUGCCAUGCUGGGCAGCAGAGCUAGACCCUCAGAGCAAUUGUGACUGUCCCUGGUGGACCUGGUCCUUGUGAGGCUCAGGAGGGAGGGUGGAAAGGUGGAGCUGUGCUGAGGUAUUAAAUGCUGGGCCUGGGUUCGUUUGACAUGUUCAUAAGCAGCUGCCCCGGCCUGUCCGUGGAACAGGGGACUAUAAAGAACAGCAGUUAGUAAUAUGGCAAGCAGUUGUGUGUCCCUGCUCAGCAGAGUGAUGUCACAGGGUACUGUGCAGAAGGCUGUUAGUUCAGAACACCAACAUCAGCUUUUUAAUAGCAGGCUGUUUCUGAAGUGACAGGUGGUAACCCUUUCAGUCCAGGCCUCUUGCCUCAGUGGUUCUGAAGGUGGGAGGAAAGGAGGCUGGACUUGGUCCCAUGUAGAGGGAAACUAACACUUUCACAACACACCUUCAGUCUUUGGGGUUACUCUUUUAUCUUUUUUUAUAAUUAGGAUAUUCUAGAGCAAUAAAAGAGACUAAGGUUACCUGUUUAUUAUAUACAUUAACUGGUAUGAGUUUUCUAAAAAAAAAUAAUAAAGCACAAUGUCAUUGGAAAAUGUUUGUUUAAAAAAAGAAUUCAUAAUUUACAACUUGGGAAGGCCAAAGACAUGGAAGGGAAAGGUAAAGACAUUUUGAUUUAUGACAUCCACAUUUUGAUUUAUGACAACCCAUAGUGGGUUGUGUGUACAGUAAUACUACGCAGGGUUUUAAGCUUGGAGACAUUUCACAUGGCUUUUAUUUAGUUUCACAUUCAAAAGUUUUAACAUAAAUUGGACUUUUUCACUGUACUUAAAGAUUGUUAAUAAGUAUUUCAGUAUCUUCAUAGCUAGAAUUUAUUUAAACAUAUCCUCAGAUCUGGGAUGAUAACAGAUAAUAAAACUGACAGCAUUGGCUUUGAAUAGUAAUGUCCAUAGUUUUAAGCAAGACUGCUAAGUUGUGUUGUGUUGACUGUAAGUCCGUACGCUCAGUAGUGAUGUUCUGAAGGCUGAUGAUGGCAUCAGAGGAAACGUCACCUUAUCUUGUUUCUGCACUAGUUUCCAGAGAGUGUAGAAAUGGUCUUGCUAAUUUUUGAAUGUUCUUUGGUUGAAUGUGUUUUUCCAUUAAUAACAUUUUUAUAUUUGUUUAAAUUAUACUUCUGUGGGACUGGGGGUUAGAAUAAUCAUUGCUCUGUUUUGAUUUUGUAUUCUUUUAAAUGAAUGUUUAGUUUUCUGAGCCAGAUGGUUAUUUCAUCCUUGUGUCCUGUUCAAUCCAGUGACUACACCGGAACUGUGAAUAAAUUACCCAAAACCU